UGGUGCAGGCUGUCGCUGGCUCAAACGAGCAUGUGCACGUCUUUUGCUGCUUGCUUCAUUCUCUUUUCCACCUGUGCACUCUUUGUAGACACUCGGGAUGGGAGAGAGGUUGGCAUUGAUGGUUGACCUCUCUUGAUAUUGAAAAGUCUGGGUGUUUAUGUAUUUUUUGACAUACACGGUUGAAUGUCUAUAGAAUGAAAUGUAGGCUUUUGUCAGCCUUUAAAUGAUAAAAUACAACUUUCAACAACGGAUCUCUUGGCUCUCGCAUCGAUGAAGAACGCAGCGAAAUGCGAUAAGUAAUGUGAAUUGCAGAAUUCAGUGAAUCAUCGAAUCUUUGAACGCAUCUUGCGCUCCUUGGUAUUCCGAGGAGCAUGCCUGUUUGAGUGUCAUUAAAUAUCUCAAAAAGUUUGUGCUUUUUUGGCAUAAGAUUUUUUGGACAUUGGGAGUUGCCGGCUGCUGAUAAAAGUGGUGGGCUCUUCUGAAAAGCAUUAGUUGAGGAGCUUUGCACUCUAUUGGUGUGAUAGACUAUCUAUGCCAGGAGAUGCUUCAUGAUCCUCUGCCAUCUAACUGUCUUUAUUAGACAACAUGAUAAACUUGACCUCAAAUCAAGUAGGACUACCCGCUGAACUUAAGCAUAU
rnacentral:sRNA from 1 species